CAAGGGCUACUUCGGUGAGAACUGUACACAAAAAUGCAGCAACAAUUGUCGGUUACCAAACAGCUGCAACGUGUAACAGGGGAAUGUGAUGGAGGGUGUCAGUAUGGAUGGACGGGGAGGUUAUGUGAGACAGGAUGUGGCAAGGGCUACUUCGGUGAGAACUGUACACAAAAAUGCAGCAACAAUUGUCGGUUACCAAACAGCUGCAACAGUGUAACAGGGGAAUGUGAUGGAGGGUGUCAGUAUGGAUGGACGGGGAGGUUAUGUGAGACAGUUAAAACCUCCGAACUCGUGUGUUCAAUCAUUCUUCAGUCACAACUGUGAAGAAUGUUAUGGUCAAUUACCUUGCGAGAUUCAGAUUCCUCGAAAAAAAAAGCAAUAUUCUUGCUUCAGGAAAUCUCUGCCCUUGUGCCGCGGAGAGCUCAAAUAUGUUCACCACUAUCAUUGUCAACUCCGUGGUAACCUUGUUCAUUGUUUUAAUUAGCAACGUCAUUAUUUAUAUCGUUCGCCGAAGGAAGAAAUUAAAUGCAGGACAUGGAAGGUAAUUUUCAGUAUUUCUUUCAUGUUUUACGUGAUA